GGGACACACAUGGGAGGAGACGCUCCCGCUGAAUUCAGAAGAACGCUGACACAUUCGCCUGUUGAAGGUUCUUUUUUUAAUUUUUUUAUCUUCCAUCCUUUUUUGCUGCAUUUUGGGAUUGUUUUGCACGGACGCGCUGCAGGGACCGUGCGUGUCAUUUAUGUAGUGGAGGAGACACGGGCUGGAUUUUAUAAACCCUCGCCGGACCGAUGAGCUCAUCUUCGUGCUCUUGCGUAUUUACGGGGGCGUUAAGGAUGCGGCUGGUGGACUGGGUCAAGGUACCUGCUGUCUUCGAAUCACACCGGCUUGGUUCGUCGGUCUGAUCCCGUCCAAGUCUGUGUGUCCACGAGGACCACGACUGUGCGUGAAUCUUUUUUUUAAUAUUUUUUUUAAUUUUUUAUUCCCCCCCCCCCCUGCACAUUGGAUCCGACACCUGCAGCAGACAGGAUGGAUAACUAUUCUACUUUGCAACUACAGUGUCUGGAAAUGACCACAAAACGGAAACUGAUUGGUCGGCUGGUGCCAUGUCGUUGUUUCCGCGGGGAGGAGGAAGUGAUCUCGGUGUUGGACUACUCUCACUGCAGUCUGCAGCAAGUGCCCAAGGAAAUAUUCAGCUUUGAGAGAACUCUGGAGGAGCUGUAUCUGGACGCCAACCAGAUUGAAGAACUACCCAAGCAACUAUUCAACUGCCAGGCCUUGAAGAAGCUGAGCAUGCCUGAUAACGAUUUGUCCAACCUGCCAACCACCAUUGCCGGCCUGGUUAACCUCAAAGAGCUGGACAUCAGUAAAAAUGGUAUUCAGGAGUUUCCAGAUAAUAUCAAAUGCUGUAAAGGCCUGUCAGUGGUCGAGGCCAGUGUCAACCCUAUCACCAAGCUCCCAGAUGGUUUUACACAACUCCUGAAUCUGACUCAACUCUUUUUAAACGAUGCCUUCCUGGAGUAUUUGCCCGCAAAUUUUGGCAGACUCUCCAAACUUCGGAUCCUGGAGCUGAGAGAGAACCACCUGAAAACCAUGCCAAAGUCCAUCCAUCGACUGACACAGUUGGAGAGGUUGGAUCUGGGAAGCAAUGAAUUCUCUGAAGUGCCAGAGGUGUUAGAGCAGAUCCACAACCUUAAGGAGCUGUGGAUGGAUAACAACUCUCUACAGUCAAUACCGGGGUCAUUAGGGAAACUUCGCCAGCUGCGCUACUUAGACCUAGCUAAGAAUCGUAUUGAGAAUUUGGACACAGAUGUUUCAGGCUGUGAGGCCUUGGAGGAUCUUUUGCUAUCCUCCAACAUGCUUCAGCACCUCCCUGACUCUAUAGGAAUGUUAAAGAAGCUGACAACACUAAAGGUAGAUGACAACCAGCUGACCUCACUACCAGGCACAAUCGGGAGCGCGAAGCCCAAGCAAGGUCUCAGCUUGCUGGAGGAAUUGGACUGUAGCUGUAACGAGCUGGAGUCUCUGCCUCCAACCAUUGGCUACUUGCACAGUCUGAGGACAUUUGCGGCUGAUGAAAACUUUCUGGUAGAACUUCCCCGAGAGAUCGGUAACUGUAAGAAUGUGACGGUGAUGUCGCUGCGCUCCAACAAACUGGAGUUCCUUCCCGAUGAGAUCGGACAGAUGACCAAACUACGGGUCCUAAACCUUAGUGAUAACAGGUUAAAGAAUUUACCGUUCACAUUUACCAAGCUGAAGGACCUGGCAGCUCUCUGGCUUUCUGACAAUCAGUCCAAGGCUCUGAUCCCCCUGCAGACAGAAGCCCAUCCUGAAACCAAACAGAAGGUUUUGACCAACUACAUGUUUCCUCAACAACCUCGACAUGAUGAGGAUUAUCAAUCAGACAGUGACAGCUUUAAUCCGACUCUGUGGGAGGAGCAGAGACAACAGAGAAUGACUGUGGCCUUCGACUUUGAGGACAAGAAAGAAGAAGAAGACAACUCCGGGAAGGUCAAGGUGGAGAUAAACCUCAAACGCUACCCAACACCAUAUCCUGAAGAUCUGAAAAACAUGGUCAAGUCAGUGCAAAGUCUUGUGGGUAAAAAUAUCCACACUGGACAUGGGCACCAGCAUCAUCUUAGCACUGGCACUGCCACCUCAGCAGGAACGAACAUGGAACUUACGCACCACAGCAAUGAACAAUAUGAACCACCAUGGCCCCUCCCUCCUAAAGAGGUAACAGACAGAGAGAUGCAGGACUUCUCUCAGACUCAGUUAAUGGACCAGGGACUGAUGCAUAACUCUGGCAUUGACAUUCCAAAGAGGAAGGACAAAGAGGACAUGACAGAGAGCUCAGAGGACUCAAUGGGCGGCUCACCCAAUGACAUCCGCAUAUCUGAUAUGAGGCCCACCCUGGUGGAGCCACCGAUUUACAAACCAAAGGUGGUGCUGCUUGGCAAGGACAAGAAAGAGUCUACGGAUGAGGAGGUGGAUAAGCGCCACUGUCUGAACCACAGUGGCUCCUCGGCCACCUACUCGGACUACUCUCCCUCACAAGGCUCCUCUGGCUCCUCCAACCCGCCCGCUAACGCACACUCGCACACACACUCGCACGCACACUCGCAUGCACACACUCAUGCGCACCAACAUAACCCUGCCCUACCAGCACCCAACAAGGAUCAAGCUCUUCAAACACACUGGACCAAUAGGCUGGCCCAGUCUUUCCCCAAACCUAUUGACUCCAAGCCCUUGCUAUCACAAAGAGAAACUCCUCCAUCAGGGACACUGCAGCAACGUGGUGACAGACGUCCACUAAGUGAGCCUUUUGAGUGGUCUGAGGUUCCUCACUAUGACAACACCGGUUUUGAUGCAGAGGAGUCUCCCCUAAACCAUUCAUCUUCUGCUUCGAGCCACGGAAACCCUCAGCUGGGUUCCAAACCUCGGAGCCAGUCCACACAUGGCCGCCGUCCUCUACUGAGGCAAGAGCGGAUUGUAGGCGUACCGCUGGAGCUGGACACACAGACGCUCCCCUUUCACAGUAACCAACGCUCCGCCCAUGACAAUGAUCCCCAAGGCUCUGCACAAGCAUCUCAGAAUCCUUGGCAGAAUUGGACCCGCACCCCAAGCCCAUUGGAGGACAGGACAGCGUUUCCGUCCAAAUUGGACCUGACGCCAACCUCAAGCCCCAACCCAGACCGCAAGGUGGCAGACACAAGGCGGGAGCAAGGGACGGGGCCUCUGCCUGGCAGCUGGUCAUACCACAAUAACCAGGGAGAGCAGAACAGAAAGGACCAGCUGACCGUCACCGGCGGCAACAAGGUAACCGUGGUAAUGAGUAAAAGCUCUGACCGACUGUCACCUAUGAUGAAGGAGACGCGAUCCAAGUUUAAGAAAUCCCAGAGCAUUGAUGAGAUCGACAUAGGCUCCUAUAAAAUAUACAGUAUUCCUAUGGACACCUACAGUUCCUCCAUUGAGCAGCAGAGCAGUUUGGACCGACAAGACCUGGCAGGUUCCAUGGAGCAGACCAACAUGGCUCGGUCCCAGUCUGCACCUAUGCUCGAUGAGGAACUUGCAUUCCAUGCACAUAGCAACCAGAACCAGCAGGGGCAUAACCAGAAACCCGCGGUCCCACACAAGGCCUACCAUUUUGACCAAAACUAUAACCCCCAGGUGACAAUGGAUCGCCGGGCCCCUCCCCCUUUUCCCAACACACCAGAUUAUGUUAAUCACUCAUCAAAAGCAUUGGAGUAUAUCAAUCAACCUGGAAAGACAUUACCCAAGGAGUUGGUGAGCCCUCGGUACCGCGCUUACCCACCCUUGGAGAUGUUCUCUUUCCCCCAAUCGCCAAUAAAUCAGGAUGGUUCCACCAGCCAGCAGCAGCAGCAGCAGCAGCAGCAGCACCCAAUCCCAUCGCAGCGUUCCAGGCCAGGGUUUUUGAGGAGAGCAGACUCACUGGUUAGCUCAACCGAACUCGCUUUGUUCCGUCGAGUUCACGAAGCCCAGCAGGAGGCCCUGCAGGAAGCUCAGUAUAGACAGCAGGGUGACCCUCCUUUAUAUAGUCGUGCUCUUGCUUACUCCAGCCCUAUGGAUCAUUCUUCCAACAUGGUAGACAGCCAGAGUCAAAUGAUGCACAACAAGAGAAAUGGCCGGUAUGACGACGAUUACACAGACUACCAGGAACAGAAGAAGCCAAUGAUUGGUUACCCGACUAAAAGCUUGACUCAACGUCGCCCCCUGUCAGCAAGAAGUUACAGCACCGAGACCUAUGGAGCAUCUCAGGCACGUCCGGUGUCAGCUCGUCCCACUAUGGCCGCCCUGCUGGAGAAGAUGCCUCCCGACUACACUCUGGCAACCUGCCCAGAGAAGCCUUUAGAUGACACCAUCAAAGUAAGACCUGUGGUACAGCAGAAGCCUGAAGACAUCACGUCCAAGAUGCCUGCAGAUUGGAGACAACAGCUGCUCAGGCACAUAGAGGCCAAGCGCCUGGACAGGAGUGGUGUCCUAAAGCACAAUACUCUCACGCUGGGCAUGCUCUGUCAGGGCGGGGGUCACGGCCAGGGGCGCAGCGGCACUUUGAACUUUAACGUUUACAAUAACACUAAGCAUGAGCCCCCUGCUGGCCGCUGGCUGCCACUACCAUCUCCUCCAUCUGCUAUUGCUACCCCCUCUCAACAAGCUGCCAUGCUGGAUAAUGACCAAGAGGGUGUGUCAGGGAGCAAUCAGUGGGUUCCGUACUCACUUGGCAGGAGGGACGUCCCACCCGACAACCUCAUGAAGAAGGCCAGUCACUCCCACAACCCUUCUCAUCAGUCACACAAUACCAUGAUCGUCACUUCUUCGUCCUCUACCUCGGCCAUGACACCUCAUCGCAUGGUUGGCCAACAGGGUUAUGAUGGCGGGAUGAUGAACAAGGGGAGCCAAUACCAGCCAGGAAUGCCAUUAUCGGUCGUUCCAUCUGGAGGGCAGUACCAAGGCAACAUGUCUCAAGCCCAUAAAACCACUGGCCAGGUCUACCAAAGUACUGGCCUACCCAUGGCCUUGUCGUCAUCCGGGAACCAACCUCAGUACAACCCACAUAUGUCUCACACGUCCCACCAGCCUCAGCUCCCACACAACAACCCCCAGUACCACAGUAACCAGGGAAUGGUCCAGAGCAACCAGGUUGUUGUGACCACUCACACCAACCCACGGCCUCAGAGCGCCCGCUGCCUUCUGCAGACAAAAGGCCAGAAGAGCACCGAUGGUUUCCAGGAACAGGUACAUCAGUCUAAAGCAGCCUCAUCUGCUGCUCUUUUAAAGAUCAAUUCUGAAGUUAUGUGUGAGAAUAGAGAAGAACCCCGGUCUUGGUUUUAGUAUCUCUGGUGGCAUCAGCGGCCAGGGGAACCCCUUCAAACCCUCCGACAUGGGUACAGCAUGACGGGCCCGCUGCAACCGCUCUGAAGCCUGGAGACAAGAUACUGCAGCAUGUGUGUAGCUCCUCCACUUUUCUCUCUUUUCCCCAACAGUGAUGUGUUACUGAGCUAAUGAUGGCAGUGAACCUCCAUCCUUCCACACAAAAAAAGCACUGCAACGUACAUAUCUAUAGAUGCAUGCGCACACACAUGCUGCUGACUGUGCUGCGUGUUUGCCUUGCAGGCUAAUGGACAUAAUUUUUUACACAUGGAGCACGAGACAGCCGUCUCUCUGCUGAAGAGUUUCCAAAGGACGGUGGACUUGGUGGUUCUGAGAGACAGCAGCCCUCCCUAGAAAUACCUUUAUAACAAUAAACAAACAUCACUUCUGUGCUAGUCACCAUCACUCACCACCCCACCUGCUCUCUGCUGGAGGCUGGUGGAACUGAAAAAAAAAUGAGCCUCCUUUUAAAAAAAAAAAAAAAAAAAAAAACUUUUUAGGGGAAUGCAGACUUUUUUGUGUGUGCCUAUUGCUGGAUCAUAGGCAAAUAAUCGUGCCAAAUGUAACAUAGGAAACAUAUUCGUCUACUGGCGAGGGAUCUGAUUAACGGCCUAAAGGACCCCAAAGGACUGCAGUAUACAACUUAAGUUAUCACAGGGCUGCUCCAGUUUAAUUUUGUGUUUGAGUUGUUAUUUAGACAUCUAAUCUAAAUGUAUGUGGCCUUUUUUGUUUGGUUGUUUGGUAUCUAGAAAUGGAGUAUGAUGAGCUUUUGUUUUAUGACUUAUUCUUGGUAUUUGUUUGAAUUCCUAAAAAACACAUACUUCUAUGUUCUUCAAUGUCUUUUUGCUUAGAGUACUGUAAUCUGAUUUACUCCCCCGGUUUGAUUUUUAUUAUAAUGUUGUUCCGACAUCUGCGUCUAGUGUACGUUAAUGAACAUUUAAAACAAAACAACAAACUUCUGCCUUGUGUACAUACAUUGAGCAGCAGCUUUCCAGUGCUGCCAUAGGGGCCUAAACAAGUUGUGUUCAUAUUGUUCAUAUUGUUUUUGAAACCAUAAGUCUUGUGAACACACCCUAAACACAUUUCUUUUCUAUGGGUUGAAUAAGCGUUUUUAGUUCAAGCCAUCGUCACUACUGUUUACAUUGUGUUCGGCAAACGGCCUGCUUUACAGCUGUGCUACAAAAAGAGCGAAAGCAAUACUGAUAUUUUGAAGCUGCUGUCUAUUGAGCUUUGCGGCCGAGUCUAACGUGUCCUAUAGUGCCAUCUAAUGAGAAACUCAUGCUCAUGUUUACACGGUCACAUAACAUACUGUAUAUGCAAUGCUGCCCUCCACACGUGUGAAGUGAUUUUGGAAUCCUGAUCUUAGACUCUCCCAAACACAUAUGUACUCUGUAAUACUAUCCAUACUGUUUGUUUACAGCGUUUGUGUUGUACUAUAAACACACAGAAUGCAAUCAUUUCACUGUUCAUUUUGGACAGAGAGAGUCAAGGAGCUAGGACACACUGCAGACAUAUGGUGAGGAUGAUGUUCUAUAUUUGGUCCAAAAUGAAGCCUUUCAUCCUCCCAAGCGAUAUUUACACAAGCCCAAAAUACCAGAACUUACAUUUUUGCAGCCCACAUCUGGUCUGGCAGCAUUGCCAGCGAGUGAGUAGCCGAAAAAAAACAAGACUCUGUUUUGCUUAAAGACGCAGUAUGCAGGAUUUUAAGGGAUUUAUCGGAAUAACCAUAACAAAUUAUUCAGUGUCAUUGUUGUUUUUGUGACCAUUUGAUGAGAAGCUCUUUUUUAAUUAAAUGACAAAAUCCGACACACCAGUUCUUUAAAAUAGAGUACAAAGAAAUACAUUCUGUAAGUGAAUAUUGUCAUUUAUCCAGGUAGUUGUACUCUGAGGGCAUUGAGUGUAUUGCAAUUGGACUGUUCAUGUUUUCUCAGAUGACAUUUUGGCUGAGAAGAUGGUGCAGGAUCCAAGUAUUUAACCUCUGAGGUAGAGCCCCCCAUAAACAAUACCAUCUCCUUAAAAGAGGGAAUCCAUUCUUGGUUGGGGAGGGGGAAAUACAUACUUGGAUCCCCUCAGAAAUGACAGAGCCUGCUGUAAUGAGAGCUGAAACGUCUAACCUAAACAAUCUAAACCAGGGGUGUCAAACUUAUUUUAGUUUGGGGGCCACAUUGAUAAAAAUCUACUCCCAAGUGGGCCGGACUGGUAAAAUCACGGCACGAUAACUUAAAAAUAAAGACAACUUCAGAUUGUUUUCUUUAUUUAAAAAUAAAACAAGCACAGUCUAAAAUUGUACAAAUCAUAAUGUCGUUGUUGUUAUUUUUUUACAUGUACAUGUUGCGGUUAAUAGUAUUCUCUCUUUAUCGUUAUUUAUAUUUUCUGAAGAAAUCAUGUGAUAAUGUUCAUCGUUCAACUCAUUGGUAUUAAUUUUCAAUAUAUCCAGAUAAAAAAUUUUAUAUCAAAAUUAAAUUACAGUAUGUUAUUUAUGUAGUUGAAUCAUUUUCCUAGACUGAUGCACUAACAUCAUGUGGUUUAUUUUGUACAUAUGUAGCAUCAUCUACAAAGAUACAAAGAAUUGCUUUUGCAACAUCCAGUGGACACAUCCAGAACAGCUGUUUCUUUCAUUCAUACUCAUUCCGCAGGCUGGAUAAAACCUGUUCGCGGGCCUGAUCCGGCCCUCGGGCCGUACGUUUGACGCCCUGGUCUAAACACUCCAGUUGCGAUUGGUUCAAUGUCCAUAGUGAGUGUUAAAUACACAUUUGAUGGUCAUAUAAAUGGAUCAACUGCAUAGCACACAUAUCAUGCGUGUCAAGACUUUGUUGUCUAUGAAUUGCAUCAAGUCAGGCCCCACACACCCCACCGCAAAAUGUGUCAAUGAUGUUUCACCAAAUUGUACAGUUAAAAUGAAUUGGGUGUGACCACAGCUUCCAACUCGAGCUAAUUUAAAAUUUAAAAAUGUGAAAGGUAUUUUGAUGCGAAGAAAUAAAUGGUUUGAUAAUAUAAUUAUUUUACUACGUUUCAGGUAAUUAUUUCUAAAUAUAUUGCUAUACCUUGCGUUGCUCAAAGGUUGUGAUAUUUUAUGAUGACUCUUAUGAUAUUGUGAUGGAUGAAGGUACGCACAGUAUGACUUGGGAACCUAAACAUGUACCAUCUAAAACUGUAAAAAAUGUAUUUUUUUGUAAUUGUAUUUUGUGUUAUACAAAUAUAUAUAUAUAUAUAUAUAUAUAUAUAUAUAUAUAUAUAUAUAUAUAUAUAUAUAUAUAUAUAUAUAUAUAUAUA